CAUCACCAUGGGCAGUUUCCUCGCAUGCAGCUUCCUGUGUGUUGACUUCAGUCUCCUUUGAAAUAUCUUCAUUUGUGUUUAACAGUUGCGGUGAAGUGAAACCAACUGCACUCUUGGUUUCAGCUCCUGUAAAAGACCUGUGGACCCCCAAAUAAAAGUGGGAACAACUGUGAUACCUUGGCUGUCUUUUUGGGUCUUCACUGAGGCCCCUUCAUCCUCUUCUGUGCAUGUAUCACUAAGCUCUGGCUCUGAACUACACUGAGAUUCCUUCAAAAUUGCUUCAGUCAACUUCCCCUGCAUUGAUUUGGCUGUGUAUAGCCAUGAGGAAUGAGACAGACAUAUGAAGUCCAUGGAAAAAUGUUAACUGGUCAAUUAGUAACAUUGGAAGGUCGCUCUUCUCCAUGCCGUCCCCUUGACCAUCCUGUGUCCCAGAGUCUUCCUCAGCAGCCUGAGGCAGUGUAACAGAGCUGGACUCU